rnacentral:rRNA from 1 species
UGCUUGUCUCAAAGAUGCAUGUGAAGUAUAAAGACUGCGAAUGGCUCAUUAAAUCAGUUAUAGUUUAUUUGAUGGUUGGAUAACCGUGGUAAUUUAGAGAUACAUGCAAAAGGUCCCGACGUUGAUUCAUAGUAACUUCUCGAACCGCUUGGGCGCCGGCGAUGGUUCAUUCUAGUUUCUGGCCUAUCUACUUUCGAUGGGGGGGUAUUGACCUACCAUGUUGCAACGGGGACGGAGAAUUAGGGUUCGAUUCCGGAGAGGCUGAGAACGGCUACCACAUCCGGCAGCAGGCGCGCAAUUACCAAUCCCGACUCGGGGAGGUAGUGACAAUAAAUAACAAUGCCGGUCCGGCAAUUGGAAUGAGUCAAUCCAAAUAACGAGAACAAGGGCAAGUCUGGUU